GCAGCUCUCCCCCGGGGCUGAGUGGAUGCCAGGGAAGCCUAGAUCACAAUGUUGAAUGAUGAGCAAAGGAUCCAGAACAUGAGGAAUGACCUUCACACCCCAGCUCUGGCCAUUACCCUCUCGGAGCCUUGGGCUCACCGCCUGGAACGUGUGUGUUUGUGUGGAGGAAGGACAAGGGGAGUAGGGGACGGGAGGAUCGAGGUGACCUCCAAGAGCCUUCCUGGCUCUUGGGCAAAGACACCUGGGAGUUAAGGGCUGGAAGGGCCUUUGCAGACACCAGUCAGCAAUGGGAGACGGUUGGGGCAGGCGGUGAAGGAGGUCACAGUCAGUUCUCCAAUUCUGUGACUCGUUUCACAGAAGAGAAAAUCGAAGUGGAGAAAAGGGAAAGGACUUGCUCAGGGCCACAAGACAAGGCACUGGCUGAGCCAGGACAAGUCAGUCUCUAACUGAACGUUUAUUAAAUGCCUAUGAUGGCCAAGCUCCUGUACGGCGCCUAGGAUACAAAUACAAAAUAAACGAUAGUGCCCACGCUCAAGGGGUUAAUAUGUUACUCCAGACAAUGUAAAUAGAACAAUCAUGUAAACACACUUUCCUAAGGCCGUUCUCAUGAGAACAGUGCUCAGCACACAGCAGGUGCCUAAUAAGUGUUUGCUUGUACUACAUCAGGUAGUACAAGCAGUACUAUCUUCAUUUUACAAAUGGGGAAACUGAGGCUUAGGAAGAUGGGCUGAUUUCCCUCAGAGACUCAGAGAUUAUAAACUAGGUCCUCUCAAUGCAGCGGCAAAUGUCUUAGUGACUUUUGUUUUUCUACUACUACUAUUUUCAGGUAGAUCAAGUCCCAAACACAGAACCUGACCUUACAAGAGUUAAACCAGCGGUCUGCAUGGUGAGCCUGUCUGCUGGCGUAUGCGGCGCUCCAUCCCUGUCACCCCCCACUCUCUAGAGGGAAGACAGAAGACGCGUUAUGGGUCUUCUCUAAGGCCAAAGUGGGUCUUUACAAGUACCCUGGGCCUUUUCUCCUUUCCCAAACAUCUCCUGUCUCCUGCUUUUUCUGCUAAGCUGCUCUGACCCAGAAUUCACUUCACAGAACGGGAAGGGUGGGGGGAAAAUGGCUCAAAUACUGAAAUUCCUUUAGGAGCGAUCAUGGAAAAAGUGAUCCAGAGCCCCGGCUCCUGCUACCGGGAUAAUGAGAGCAGUGAUGGCCACCGCCUUCCUUUAGCCUGGUUCGCCACCUAGUGGAGAACCUGAAACAGGCUGUCCAAUUGGCAAAUCAUCUGACCUUUCUGCUCGAUUACAAGAGGGUGAUGUAGUAGAUGAUCUUUAAGGCUCCUCCCAGCUCUGACACUCGCUGUUCUAAAUCCCCUCCCAGCCCUGACACUCCCUGUUCUAAGGUCCCUCUCAGCUCUGACAUCCCCUGUUCUAAGGUUCCUUUCAGCCCUGACAGUUCCUAUUCUAAGACCCCUCCGGUUCUGAUACUCUCUAUUCUAAGGUUUCUUCCAGCCCCGACAUCCCCUGUUGUAAGACCCUUCCCAGGUCUGAUACGCUCUCUUCCAAGGUUUCUUCCAGCCCCAACAUCCCCUGUUCUAAGACCCUUCCCAGGUCUGAUACUCUCUAUUCUAAAGUUUCUUCCAGCCCCGACAUCCCCUGUUCUAAGACCCUUCCCAGUUCUGAUACGCUCUCUUCCAAGGUUUCUUCCAGCCCCAACAUCCCCUGUUCUAAGACCCUUCUCAGGUCUGAUACUCUGUAUUCUAAGGUCUCUUCCAGUUUUGACAUUCCACAUUCUAAGGCCCCUCCCAGCCUUGACAUUCCACGUUCUAAGUGCUCUAUCAGCUCUGACAUUCCUUGUUCUAAGGCCCUUUCUAGUUCUGACACUCUGUUCUAAGAUCUCUUCAGUUCUAGCAUUCUUUGUGUUCUAAGCUUCCUCCCAGCUCUUGUAUUCUAAGGUCACUCCUUGGUCCAAUCUCUUUGGGUUUCAAUUUCUUCUUCCAUAGAUGAGGGGGAUAGCCUCCAGAGCAUGGAGAUAUAACAGGAAGAAUAAUCCAGACUGGGGUUUAAAUCCUGGUUCGAACAAUCAAUCCCCUGGCUUCUGGGUAAGUCUUCUUCCUCUUUUUUUUUUUUUUUUU